UCGAAGGUAGCAUAAUCAGUAGUCUUUUAAUUGAAGGCUGGAAUGAAUGGUUGGAUGAAAUAUUAACUGUUUCAUUUAAAUUUUUAAAGAAUUUUAUUUUUUAGUUAAAAAGCUGAAAUUUUAUUAAAAGACGAGAAGACCCUAUAAAUCUUUAUAUUUUUUAUAUUUUAAUUUUAUGGAUUUAUUUAAUUAUUAUGAUAAAUAGAUAUUUUAUUGGGGUGAUAUUAAAAUUUAAAAAACUUUUAAUUUAUGAUUUACAUAAAUUUAUGAAUAAAUGAUCCAUUAUUAGUGAUUAAAAAUUUAAGUUACUUUAGGGAUAACAGCGUAAUUUUUUUGGAGAGUUCAUAUCGAUAAAAAAGAUUGCGACCUCGAUGUUGGAUUAA
rnacentral:rRNA from 1 species